ACCAGCUAAGAGAAAAGGAGAAUUUUUAACUUCUGGAUCUGGUGGUUUUUCUGAAAACUUUGGUAUCUGCAGGAAGAGCUUCUUUGACCAGCAAUGUGGUAUAAAAGGACGUUUGCAGAAUUUCUGAGAUUCUACAUGGACUCUCCAAGUCUGCAACUGAACACUGGAAUGUCACUGGACUACUCACGGCCUUUGCUCCUCAGUAAUAGUCCCUACUUGCAGAGCGGAGAACCCAGUCCUGAGCCAAGACCAAGGACUCAGCUCCUGGUAAAAGAACAGGGAGCCUGGAAACAUUGAGAACCUGACACUAACAGGAGUCCAGUGGCCUCCAGUAUCUUGUUGCAGUCAGAACGCUAUGCAUCCAGGAAGUAGAGUGAGCCAGUCCUUUCCAUACAUGUGUUGAAGGAAUGCGACAGUAGGGGGUUCACGGCUCCCAGAAUGACAUGAAUAAAAACACUGCAGCACAUAUACAAGCUGUAAUAACUGUAUCCUCUCAAAAGCAAUACGUCAAAGAUACCCAAUGAAUUCACUCAUCCUAUAACCAGUGAGAAUGGCAUGACUUGGUUUUUCUUUUAGUUUCACAGCUCAUUUGGAUAUCAUCCGGAGGUGUAUAAACUCCAUGUUCCUCCCACGUUUCUCUGACUCUGACAGAUAUUAAAACCAGAUGUAUUCGGAGUUGAGAUGAAGAGAGAAAAAUGUGAGGAGUGCGGUUUUAGGUUAAGAGCAUUCAGAUUUUUUAAGAGGCACUAGCUCUUUAGCACUUACAGGUAUUCAGAAGAAGCAGCUGCAUUCACAGAAAGAUAGGAAUGGCUGCUGAACUAGCUAGAAGGAGACAAUGGGAAAAGGCAGCUUUGUGGCAGCCGGAGUAUUCCUCAGUUCAGGUCAAAAUUUCAAAAAGUUUUCACAAAAGCAAAGAGAAAAAAUAAAUCAUCCUCUACCACCCACCCCUCAAAAAAAGGAUUUCAAUAAUUCAGAAGUAUUAUUUAAGUGCACUUGCAAUAAAAGUUAUGGAAGUUACACGUUAAAUUCAUUAUUUAAUCUUUGCACAUCAAGAAUGAGAUAUUUGCCUGUACCCCUCUACCUCCCCACAACCCUCACUGAUAAUCAGAGGCUCUGAUCACUGUGCAGGAGUUUCUGGGGUGAGAAAAUACCUAAGAAAUAAGACCUGAGUGUGGACAGAGUGUGUUUAGGACAGCUGGAGGGGAUGGCAUAGAGCACAGCUGUGCUGAAUUAGAUGGAUCAUCUGUGAACUGCACGGGAGAGAGUGUGUACGUACAAUCACGGCAGAAGCGUAGGCGGGGACAAAUCAGAGUUAAGGGGUGUGAAAUUCUGAAUAGGGGGUAUGUGUGUUGGGGGGUUAUUAAAGCUCAAAUUAAUAGUAUUUGUUCAGUUCCAGAAACAGUUGUAAUUACGAACCAAAAUCAAUAUCCUUCCUUCCUAAUUUUGAUCAUGGUAGUGCUUCCAGUAAUGAAUGAAACUGAGAGCAUAUCCAUGCAGAAGCUUAUACCACAGGAUAGGUUUAAACAUGUGAGUUAUCCCACUGAAUUUUUUAAAGGAUCUGGCACACACAGGACAGUUCGUAACCGUAUUAACUGAAUGUAAGCCUCAGGUCUUCUUGCUGUUCAUAUUUAGUGUUUGAUGGAGCGACCAAUAACUGGAAUGGAAUUGAACAAAUACUGAAGUCACAGAUGACAGGGAUAACAAAGGAUUAUUAUUUGUUUAAAGAUUUACUGCAGCUUUACGGUACCAACAGAAACAAAUGUCUAAAGUUAAUCAACUUGAUCAUCUUAUAAAAGGAAAUGUAUUUGUUAGGUAUUACUUUCCUGAUUAGAUCCUAUUACUAACUUUCCGUUGUUAUAUAACCCAUUACCAAAAAGCCCUACAAACAGGAAACAUGGCUUCAGUAAUACACCCGUAUGGGAACUGAAAUACCAAAACAAAAAAAAAAUCUUAAUUAUUUACUCUUUCAUUAUAAACAUCUGUCUUGAAAAUUAUCAUGGUAUCUAUAAGAAUGUUUUACUCUGGGUUUCUAAAAUAUAAAGUACAUAUAAUGCUUUCUGAGGAGGUUUCAUAAAUUAUUACAAGAAUCAUAUCUGCCUUUCUCUAAGCAGCUUUUGCCCACGACAAAAAUAAAGCUUACAAGCAUGACGAAUCUAACACUAAGCUUCUCUAAGACUGCAAGUGCUUUUAUUGCUGUCGCACUCACAAAAGGCUCAAAUUAGUGAGGGUGGCAGGGAGAUUAAAUAUAUAGUGUAUGUAAUAAAAAUGCGGGGAAAUUACUUGUUCUGCACUGCAAGACUAGAAGGAACAAUUCUUUGAUCAGAACAGAGGUCACUGUCAUAAAAGAGGCUGAAAAAAUAGCCCCAGACAGGCGAUGCUGCUUGUGCCAGGAAGAGUAGUGUUUUGUAGCUAUUAAACCUGGUUUGGAGCUUGAUAAUAUAACACAGGGUGAUAGAACAGUAUGGUUGCUUACUAGCAAGAAACUGGACUGGAUGGCUCAAAAGACCUUUUCCAAGUCUACCAACUGAACUGGAUACUUGAAGCAACAUGUAAAUCUUCAAGCCUGGUUUUAUAAUGUAGAAGUGUACACAACUGGACGGAGCAUUAGUUCCCCCCUGCUUGGCCUAGAUCAGCUCAGUGGGAACCUUCAGCGUCAUGUCCCUGCGCUGCGCUGCACCACACUGCGCCGGAGAGGGUCAGAGAGGGCAACUCCCUGCUAACAGCUCAAAGGGUAAAACCCAGUCCUGCAACUGUCCUUCCGGAAUCCAAGCUGGAGAAUUUGAUGUAGUUGGACAAUCUGCCCCUUUGCCUGGCCAAACGGAUUUAAUGUGCAAUUUGUUUCAAGGAGUCAGUCACCUCUCGGAUGAAAACUACAAUGAAUUGCUCACUUUUCCAGUCUUAUCACUCAAAACAAAAAAAAAGACAUGUUUUUCACAGGCCUGUAUCUAUAUUCACUUACGAUUUAUAUUUUCUGCUUGUUGUGAUUACAACAAAUAACAAAUGCUUGAUUUGUGUACACAUCUCACUAUAAAUCAGUAAAUACCAGUGUGUUUGACAUGAAGGGACAAAAUCGUUAU